rnacentral:rRNA from 1 species
AGGACGAACGCUGGCGGCGUGCUUAACACAUGCAAGUCGAGCGGAAAGGCCCUUCGGGGUACUCGAGCGGCGAACGGGUGAGUAACACGUGAGCAACCUGCCCCUGGCUCUGGGAUAGCCUCCGGAAACGGGGAUUAAUACCGGACAUUCACUUUCUUCCGCAUGGUCGGGAGUGGAAAGUUUUUUCGGCCGGGGAGGGCUCGCGGCCUAUCAGCUUGUUGGCGGGGUAACGGCCCACCAAGGCGACGACGGGUAG